rnacentral:rRNA from 1 species
UACGAAGGUGGCAAGCGUUGUUCGGAUUUACUGGGCGUACAGGGAGCGUAGGCGGUUGGAUAAGCCCUCCGUGAAAUCUCCAGGCUUAACCUGGAAAGUGCAGAGGGGACUGUUCAGCUAGAGGAUGGGAGAGGAGCGCGGAAUUCCCGGUGUAGCGGUGAAAUGCGUAGAGAUCGGGAGGAAGGCCGGUGGCGAAGGCGGCGCUCUGGAACAUUUCUGACGCUGAGGCACGAGAGCGUGGGGAGCGAACCGG